UUAAUUGAAGUGGGGAGGGGCCUUCCAGGUUGUAGGUAGAUAAGAGACCAAUGGUAGCAUUCUUUUGAGUUUCUGAUUAGUCUCUCCAAAGGAGACAAUCAGAUAUACAUCCACCUCAGUGAGCAGAAGGGUGACUUUGAAUAGAAUGGGAGGCAGAU